GUUGUUGGUGUUCUUUGAACUUGAAUGAGUUGAAUAGGUCAUGGAAUGCCCCUAGUUUAUGCUUUCUUUUGUGUGUAAAACUCCAAUCGAUCCACUAAUGCUGUCUGUCCUCUUUGGAGCUCUUUCCUCAAGUCGUUUGAUAGGACACGACGAGCGGUGUCGACGCAAAUAAUUGUCUUCCAACCAUUGCUUACAAUUUUUUUACCGAGGAAGAAAAAGAAAACUUACCUACCGGCUACCAUUGCAGUCUAAUUGGAAGCGAGGAGGCGAUCACGGCAUCGAUGGCAGACCAUGUUUAUAUUUCAGUUUAAAAAAGAUGAUCUUUUGGCAGAGGCCAGUCGAUUCGCCAGCAAAACGUCAUGUCCUCAAGAGGUGAAGAAGUCAGUGAACCAAACAAUUAAGAAGUAGGCAGCAGCGUGGCUGAAGGAACCAGAACAGAGGAGAAAUCAUAUAAAAAUAGACGAGGCCGGCAUGGAAGAAGAGAAGCUUGACCCCGUCCCCAUGGACAGACAAUAAAUGAGUGGGUGGGUUUCGGGGACGUGCAUGGCUGUAUCGUCCUUCACCUGCCAAUGGAAGUCAGAGAGCCAAUGGCUUGCAGCAACACGCAACGAGCAUAGCAUAGAGCUGCUCUUCUUAUUUUCUUCAGCUCUCUCUUCCAAACAGUGGCCGCCGCGUAGGAAUUGUUUCUGCGAAGGAAGGAAUUGGGAAGGGAAAGACGGGUAGUUCGACUCGUGUUGGGUUUGCACGUGGAGAGGGUGUCAGUGGACGAAGAGGCAUGCAGAGGAAAGAAAACGACGAAUUCACGGACGAGGGAGCCGACGACUCGGCUAGUUGCACUAAAUGAGCGAGGGUCCCGCGUGGGGCCGGCGCACCUGCUCCUAUGGCCGGGGUUCUCAGGUGCGCCUGGCCCCAUCAGGUUAGUGAUAUAUUUAUUUGGUUCGAUGAGUCUCAUGUUAAUGUGGCCCAGUGACCAAGAACAUAAUGCUUGAUUGAAAGAAGAUUGAGCUAUGGCUGCAUAUAAUGUAGCUGGGGCGUAGGCAUUCAAACUUACUGUACAUCUAUUAAUUCCAGCACCUUGUCCUUGUCCUUUAUAGGCCUAGUUUGAUGCCGGGUGGAAAAGAAGAAGAGUACUUUUACCUUUUGCCCUUUUAAGUUUUUGCUCAUUUCAGAU